rnacentral:lncRNA from 1 species
CUUUUUACUGGCUCACAGGAUUAUCAGACUGAUGCAACUCUUCCUGAAAGGCUUUGGAAGCAGCUCUGCAGGAUGUCCUGGGACCAGUGUGACACAACUGGGAGUACCAGCUAGCUGAAAAACUCGCUUCAGAAGCACUCGGCCAUGGCCUGCUGAGGAACUGGAGAGGGUAUUUCAGCAAAUGAAGGAGACACCUUUGGGAAAUUGGGAGAAGUUCUUCUUCUGAGCAGGAGCAUACAUUCAAUCUUUAGUUCAUUGCUUCUGGUGGGCAAGCAUCAAAUCAGGCUGAUGUCUGAUCAAAUCCCUGUCAGCUUUUGUUAGCGCUGCUUGAUCCUGCCUCGCUCAGAAAGCUUGAAGGAAAGUGAUGGGAAAUAAAAAGUUAAUUCAUGCCCUCCUAACUGUGUAG